rnacentral:misc_RNA from 1 species
CCAAUAGCGUAUAUUAAAGUUGUUGCAGUUAAAAAGCUCGUAGUUGAAUUUCGGGAUUAAUAUGCUGGUCGUGCCAUUGGUACGUACUAGUAUUAUUGAUUUCUCCCUUCUGAUGAAUCAUGAUGUCAUUAAUUUGAUGUCAUGGGGAAUCAGGACUGUUACUUUGAAAAAAUUAGAGUGUUUAAAGCAGGCUCGCGCUUGAAUACAUUAGCAUGGAAUAAUGAAAUAGGACGUUUGAUUCUAUUUUGUUGGUUUCUAGGAUUGACGUAAUGAUUAAUAGGGAUAGUUGGGGGCAUUAGUAUUCAAUUGUCAGAGGUGAAAUUCUUGGAUUUAUUGAAGACUAACUACUGCGAAAGCAUUUGCCAAGGAUGUUUUCAUUAAUCAAGAACGAAAGUUAGGGGAUCGAAGACGAUCAGAUACCGUCGUAGUCUUAACCAUAAACUAUGCCGACUAGGGAUCGGAUGAUGUUAAUUAUGACUCAUUCGGCGCCUUACGGGAAACCAAAGUGUUUGGGUC